rnacentral:rRNA from 1 species
UCGGACGGGUGAGUAACGCGUGAGAAUCUAGCUUCAGGUUGGGGACAACAGUUGGAAACGACUGCUAAUACCGAAUAUGCCGAGAGGUGAAAGAUUUAUUGCCUGAAGAAGAGCUCGCGUCUGAUUAGCUAGUUGGUGGGGUAAGAGCUUACCAAGGCGACGAUCGGUAGCUGGUCUGAGAGGACGAUCAGCCACACUGGGACUGAGACACGGCCCAGACUCCUACGGGAGGCAGCAGUGGGGAAUUUUCCGCAAUGGGCGAAAGCCUGACGGAGCAAUACCGCGUGAGGGAAGAAGGCUCUUGGGUUGUAAACCUCUUUUCUUAGGGAAGAAAAAAAUGACGGUACCUAAGGAAUAAGCAUCGGCUAACUCCGUGCCAGCAGCCGCGGUAAUACGGAGGAUGCAAGCGUUAUCCGGAAUGAUUGGGCGUAAAGCGUCCGCAGGUGGCAAAUCAAGUUUGCGGUUAAAGGUUCUGGCUCAACCAGAGACAGGCCGUGAAAACUGAUUAGCUAGAGUAUGGUAGGGGCAGAGGGAAUUCCCAGUGUAGCGGUGAAAUGCGUAGAGAUUGGGAAGAACACCGGUGGCGAAAGCGCUCUGCUAGGCCAAAACUGACACUGAGGGACGAAAGCUAGGGGAGCGAAUGGGAUUAGAUACCCCAGUAGUC